GACGAACGCUGGCGGCGUGCUUAACACAUGCCAGUCGAACGGAAAGGCCCUGCUUUUGUGGGGUGCUCGUGUGGCGAACGGGUGAGUAACACGUGAGUAACCUGCCCUUGACUUUGGGAUAACUUCAGGAAACUGGGGCUAAUACCGGAUAGGAGCCCCUGCUGCAUGGUGGGGGUUGGAAAGUUUCGGCGGUUGGGGAUGGACUCGCGGCUUAUCAGCUUGUUGGUGGGGUAGUGGCUUACCAAGGCUUUGACGGGUAGCCGGCCUGAGAGGGCGACCGGCCACAUUGGGACUGAGAUACGGCCCAGACUCCUACGGGAGGCAGCAGUGGGGAAUAUUGCACAAUGGGCGGAAGCCUGAUGCAGCAACGCCGCGUGCGGGAUGACGGCCUUCGGGUUGUAAACCGCUUUCGCCUGUGACGAAGCGUGAGUGACGGUAAUGGGUAAAGAAGCACCGGCUAACUACGUG
rnacentral:rRNA from 1 species